AUUGAACGCUGGCGGCAUGCUUUACACAUGCAAGUCGAACGGCAGCGCGGGCUUCGGCCUGGCGGCGAGUGGCGAACGGGUGAGUAAUACAUCGGAACGUGCCCAGUAGUGGGGGAUAGCUCGGCGAAAGCCGGAUUAAUACCGCAUACGCCCUGAGGGGGAAAGCGGGGGAUCUUCGGACCUCGCGCUAUUGGAGCGGCCGAUGGCAGAUUAGCUAGUUGGUGGGGUAAAGGCCUACUAAGGCGACGAUCUGUAGCUGGUCUGAGAGGACGACCAGCCACACUGGGACUGAGACACGGCCCAGACUCCUACGGGAGGCAGCAGUGGGGAAUUUUGGACAAUGGGCGAAAGCCUGAUCCAGCAAUGCCGCGUGUGUGAUGAAGGCCUUCGGGUUGUAAAGCACUUUUGGCGGGAACGAAAAGGACUGUGCCAAUACCACGGUUCGAUGACGGUACCCGCAGAAUAAGCACCGGCUAACUACGUG
rnacentral:rRNA from 1 species